AGCAGCCGCGGUAAUUCCAGCUCCAAUAGCGUAUAUUAAAGUUGUUGCAGUUAAAAAGCUCGUAGUUGAAUUUCGGGGUUAGUAGGUUGGUCAUGCCUCUGGUAUGUACUGGUCUCACUGAUUCCUCCUUCCUGAUGAAUCUUAAUGCCAUUAAUUUGGUGUUUUGGGGAAUUUGGACUGUUACUUUGAAAAAAUUAGAGUGUUUAAAGCAAGCUAACGCUUGAAUACAUUAGCAUGGAAUAAUGAAAUAGGACGUUCGAUCCUAUUUUGUUGGUUUCUAGGAUUGACGUAAUGAUUAAUAGGGAUAGUUGGGGGCAUUAGUAUUCAAUUGUCAGAGGUGAAAUUCUUGGAUUUAUUGAAGACUAACUACUGCGAAAGCAUUUGCCAAGGAUGUUUUCAUUAAUCAAGAACGAAAGUUAGGGGAUCGAAGACGAUCGAUACCGUCGUAGUCUUAACCAUAAACUAUGCCGACUAGGGAUCGGAUGAUGUUAAUUUUUUAAUGACUCA
rnacentral:rRNA from 1 species